rnacentral:lncRNA from 1 species
ACAAACUACACAUGGUACAAGUAACAAUAAAAUCAGUAUCACCAGUAUCACGAAAUAAUAAAAAUCACAUGAGUAUGUUGUUGUUCUUCUUCUUCUUCCCUUCUUCUAGAUCUGCUUCUUCUUCUUCCCUUUUUUCGAAUUAACUUUUUUUUUCUUCUUCUUCCAGACUGGGGUUUUUAAGUCUUUUUUUACUUGAAAUUUUUCAUACUUGAAAUGUAAUUCGAUAUCACAACAUCAAAAUCGAUACCUAUAAAAUCGAGCGCAGUAGAUAGUACCCACUAUCACUGGAAAAUUUAUGAACUCAUAAGUACAUAAGUUAGUAUCAUAGAAAAUUGGCAGGUACAAAACUCUAUACCUUUAAACAUGAAGAGGUACUAACCAACAAACAAAACUUCCCAUAACAUCAAAUGCGGGAUCCAAACAUCCAACUAGUACCACAAACUAAUCAGAGGAACAUAUAGAAGAACAAGAAACUAACCCAGAAAAUAUCAAACUUAUAAAUCUACUAAACAAUCAACUAAUAAACCAAAAACACUAAAAAAAAAAUCAUUCAAAUCCUUAAUACCUGAUUCUUCGAUGGCAGUAUAUUGUCUUCAUCCUCUGGCGGUAUCUCCCCCUUCUCCUUUCUAGGCUUUUUCCUCAUUGUGCAGCGGCAGCAUUUUCUAUCUUCAUCGGACGGGGUUGAAUCAGGUACAUCGGCAAGGUUCUCGACGGAGUCCCCAUCCGAUUCCAACAACUCAGCCAUUGACUUCGGCAUAGUGCGGCGCCGGAUUGACCGACGGUUUCCUCUGGUUGUGGUUCCUGAUCCAUUCAUUGGAGCGCGGCGGGGCGAAAGGAAGAGAAACCACGGCUCGGUGAGCGAAGAGAAACGUGGGUGCGUCGGGGGAAGAGAAACAUGCGGCAGAUUCGGAGC